GACGAAGGAUGCAAGCGUUAUCCGGAUUCAUUGGGUUUAAAGGGAGCGUAGGUGGCCUUAUAAGUCAGUGGUGAAAUCUCUGGGCUUAACCCAGAAAUUGCCAUUGAUACUGUAGGGCUUGAGUAUAGAUGCCGUUGGCGGAAUAUGACAUGUAGUGGUGAAAUACAUAGAGAUGUCAUAGAACACCGAUUGCGAAGGCAGCUCACUAAACUGUAACUGACGCUGAGGCACGAAAGCGUGGGGAUCAAACAGG
rnacentral:rRNA from 1 species